rnacentral:rRNA from 1 species
CUACGGGAGGCAGCAGUUGGGAAUCUUGGACAAUGGGCGAAAGCCUGAUCCAGCCAUGCCGCGUGAGUGAUGAAGGCCUUAGGGUUGUAAAGCUCUUUUGCCAGGGACGAUAAUGACUGUACCUGGAGAAUAAGCCCCGGCUAACUUCGUGCCAGCAGCCGCGGUAAUACGAAGGGGGCUAGCGUUGUUCGGAAUUACUGGGCGUAAAGCGUGCGCAGGCGGUUUCUCAAGUCAGGGGUGAAAGCCCGGAGCUCAACUCCGGAAUUGCCUUUGAAACUGUGAAGCUAGAGUGCGGGAGAGGUGAGUGGAAUUCCCAGUGUAGAGGUGAAAUUCGUAGAUAUUGGGAAGAACACCGGUGGCGAAGGCGGCUCACUGGCCCGUUUCUGACGCUCAUGCACGACAGCGUGGGGAUCAAACAGGAUUAGAUACCCCGGU